rnacentral:rRNA from 1 species
AUUGAACGCUGGCGGCAGGCCUAACACAUGCAAGUCGAGCGGAUGAGUGGAGCUUGCUCCAUGAUUUAGCGGCGGACGGGUGAGUAAUGCCUAGGAAUCUGCCUGGUAGUGGGGGACAACGUUUCGAAAGGAACGCUAAUACCGCAUACGUCCUACGGGAGAAAGUGGGGGAUCUUCGGACCUCACGCUAUCAGAUGAGCCUAGGUCGGAUUAGCUAGUUGGUGAGGUAAAGGCUAACCAAGGCGACGAUCCGUAACUGGUCUGAGAGGAUGAUCAGUCACACUGGAACUGAGACACGGUCCAGACUCCUACGGGAGGCAGCAGUGGGGAAUAUUGGACAAUGGGCGAAAGCCUGAUCCAGCCAUGCCGCGUGUGUGAAGAAGGUCUUCGGAUUGUAAAGCACUUUAAGUUGGGAGGAAGGGCAGUAAGUUAAUACCUUGCUGUUUUGACGUUACCAACAGAAUAAGCACCGGCUAACUUCGUGCCAGCCGCCGCCGUAA